rnacentral:rRNA from 1 species
UACGUAGGGUGCGAGCGUUAAUCGGAAUUACUGGGCGUAAAGCGUGCGCAGGCGGUUUUGUAAGCCAGAUGUGAAAUCCCCGGGCUUAACCUGGGAAUGGCAUUUGGGACUGCAAGGCUGGAGUGCGGCAGAGGAGACUGGAAUUCCUGGUGUAGCAGUGAAAUGCGUAGAUAUCGUAAGGAAGACCAGUGGCGAAGGCGGGUCUCGUGGACAGUUCCUGACGCUGAGGCACGAAGGCCAGGGGAGCAAACGGG